GGGUAUGAGUGCAAUGGUUCGCUUCCAUUAUAUUUUCAGGAAUGAUAACAUAAUAGCAUCAUUAAAGAUAGCAUAAUAACUAAUAGCUGUUAGUAGCUUUAUCCACUUGAGAUGUGUUUAAUGGUCCUAUGGAGCCAUCAAAGUUAAGCAGGUGCCCAAUAUCUGCUGGACAUUUAAUCCUCAACAAUAUGUAACCUCUUGCUGAUGGCUAAACUAAUCAAGUUGGAGUGGGGGGAGAUGUGACAUGGCUUGCUCAACAAAAACAACCUCUUUGAAAAGAUUGAAGGCAAACUAUGUCCAGGCAGAAGAAGAACAUCACGGCUUCAAAACCUAAGGGACUGGUUUGGACAAAACUCAGCAGCACUUUUUCCUGCGGCUGGUAACAAAAAUAGGAUUGCCAACAUGAUCACCAAUAUCUGAUGAUGGAUAUGGCACAGGAAGAAGAAGAAGAAGAAGAAGCCACUCUAUCCUGUUUAAAAGUGAAAGGACUAGAGGAAAAGAGCCGGAGCCCGGCCGAAGUUUCCCGUGCUGCUUCAGUGAGUGCUCCUCGAGAGAUGAGAGUUGCAGGGGGCCAAUCUGGCAUCGGCAAUAGUGAGCAAAAUCCAGCUGCUCCCCGGACCAGUUGCCAUUUACAGCUCCAAGUCCCAAGAGGCAGGAGAUGAGGGCUGCUUUGUGCCACCGGCUGGGCAAAUAUACUGAGGCGGAAUGCUGAUGCUGCACAAGUGCAAGUAGUGCUUUGCUCCCAUAGCUUCCAGUUAUCGCAAUCGCUGCUUCGGCCCACUUGCGCCGCAGCUCCUCCACAAGGGUGCACUGGCAAAAAUAUGAAGAUUUCUCCACGGACCACCAAAAUUUUCCUGCAGACCACCAAUGGUCUGUGGAUCACCGGUUGGUGACCACUGAAUUAAACUAUCCCUUCUAAAAGUUCCAAAAAGUCACAGCCUUGCCAUGGAUCUUUUACUUUGCAAAUCCUGUCUGCCUGUCUUAAUGAUUCAGAAAUUAUUUGCAAUUAUUCCUAAUUAUUUCAGAAAUCCAGGCAGCCAUAGUUUAUUUUCUCCCAUUUGAAGGCAGGAAACCCUGCCUUAACCCUGAUCCAUUGCUGCAUAAGAAAUUUGCCAGCUUGUGUGGCCAAAUAAGGUUCAGGAGUCCAUGGAGAUUGCUCAGCUUCAGUUUUCUCAGGACUGACGUGUCUUUUGUAAUAAUACAUUAUUUCUGAAUAAACUUCGUGAUUUGUAAACAAGCCUAUUUAAUUCAUAAACCAGCCCUUGUGAGAUUCUCUUUUUCUCUUUUGUUUUUAUUCUUUUGAAGAUGUCUUUUCACUAGCUGAUUUAAAACAUUAAAACAUUCUCUGACUCAAGAACAGCUGCAAAAGUUCUUCCAUUUCCCACUUCUAACUCAUGUUGGCUCACAACCAAAGCCAAAUUCCUAGCAAGGCCAAAAACAGAGAAGAAGCUACAAGAACAAGAUGGUGUUCUUAAUAAGCCUAUCUCUAAUAAGUCAGGUGAAAGAUGGCCCAAUUUUUAAUGAAAACACAAUAGCAAUGCAUUUCCAGAGAUGGCUGACAUUUCUCUGAUCUCUCUUAAUUUUUCUGGGAAAGUCAUUAUCAAGAAAAAGAAGAAAAUGUCAACAAUCCUUGCCAAUGACUGUUCAUAAUGCUGUUCUGACCAAAUAGUUUAAAAAUAUAUGCUGUCUGGUGUGGGCUUUUCCAUGUCCCCAGAUAAAAUUAAGCUCUGUGAAAUAUUUUUGUCCUUGCACUGCCUCUGCAAGGCGGCUUGUUUCAAAAACAAACAUUUGUUUUAUUCAGAAGUAUUGAAUAACUGCAGACAUGGGUGGUCAAAACAAAAGUGCUAUAUCAGAACAGUGAGAAUUAACCUUGAAAACUUUGAGAGACUGGAAUGUUAUUCCAAACAAAUUAUUCUGAGAAAUUUCUUUAUCUUUAUUUAUGUAUUUGAAAUCUCCUUGUAGACAAAUAUCUUCCCAAGGCAGCUUCCAGCAGAAAAAUAGAAACCAAUUUUUUGUAUUUAAAUGUUUUUUAACAGGAACCAUUAUAAAAACAAACCUAAACAGUCACCCUAACCUAUAAAUGUAAUCCUAUCAAUUACCAUAAAAUAAAUUUAAACCA